UGAUUCCCCUUCGCGCCCCGGUGGGUCUGUUUCGGUGGCGUCUGUGGUGGCUGACGAAACAUGCUUUGACAGGGAGCGAGCGAGGAUCAAUGACUACAACUCCCAGAAGGCCCCACUGAUGACGUUGACGGUGUUGUUUCGGGCUUUCCCACCACAGAUGUAAGGCUCAAUGGUCUAUAAUUAUCGGGACUAUCCCUACUACCCUUUUUGAACAAGGGGACAACAUUCGCCUCCCUCCAAUACUCCGGUACAAUUCCCGUGGACAAUGAGGACAUAAUGAUCUUCGCCAGAGGCUCAGCAAUCUAUUUCCUUGCCUCGGAUGCAGAACUGGGAAGCACAGAUGGAGUUCACCACAGAUGAAGAGGUUCAUUUCUGCAGAUCAAAUUUGAACACAGAAUAUAAUAUUAAUGCUUUCCCACCACAGAUGGAAGGCUCAAUGGUCUAUAAUUAUCGGGACUAUCCCUACUACCCUUUUUGUACAAGGGGACAACAUUUGCCUCCCUCCAGUCCUCCGGUACCAUUCCCGUGGACAAUAAGGACAUAAUGAUCCUAGCCAGAGGCUCAGCAAUCUAUCUCCUCGCCUCGGAUGCAGAACCGGAAAGUGGCAGAGGGAGUUCAACACAGCUGAAGAAGUUCAUUUCUGCAGGUCAAAUUUGAACACAGAAUAUAAUAUUAAUGGAGGAGGCAGCUUUUUUUGUGAACACAGUUCUUAAAUAUUCUCUCUCUCUCUUCAGCUGUCACUCAGAAUCCAGCUCCAGCCUCUUAAAGUGACACUCGGAGUUAAGGAAACAGGAGCUGGUAACAGGUGUGUCGGUUGCUUUGGGGUGCACACUGACUGGAGGGUAGAAGGUGGGUUUUUCGGUGAGCACAGAUUUGUGGGUGCACACCGAUUUGCAGAUAUGUGAAGAGUGGGUGUGUUUGCGGAUUCGGGGGUGCACUCUGACUGGAGGGUUGAAUGUGGUUUUUUUCGGUGAGCACAGAUUUGUGGGUGCACACCGAUUUGCAGAUAUGUGAAGAGUGGGUGUGUUGGCGGAUUCGGGGGUGAACACUGACUUGGGGGAACCGGUGGAUUUCGAGGUGUUACAAAUCUCAUGGUUUUUCCCUUUAUACGGACUUCAAUAAUAAAUGCAAUAUGAAAUUUGA